AGGCAGGAGAAUUUCUGGAUAAUAACCUGAAGAGUGUUUUCCAGCUUGGAUUCAUUCUCCAUGUCACAUUUAGGUACGCCGAUCAAGCGGAGAUUAGGUCUUU